rnacentral:rRNA from 1 species
UACGUAGGGGGCGAGCGUUAUCCGGAAUUAUUGGGCGUAAAGGGUGCGUAGGUGGUCUGAUAAGCGUGGGGUGAAAGGCAAUAGCUUAACUAUUGUAAGCCUUGCGAACUGUCAGACUUGAGUGCAGGAGAGGAAAGUGGAAUUCCUAGUGUAGCGGUGAAAUGCGUAGAUAUUAGGAGGAACACCAGUGGCGAAGGCGACUUUCUGGACUGUAACUGACACUGAGGCACGAAAGCGUGGGGAGCAAACAGG